rnacentral:lncRNA from 1 species
UUAUGUUGCUUAUUUAGAGGCUGCCGUACAUGGAUCAGAUAUGAUAUUGAUUGCAGAAAUUUCUAUACGACUCUUGUGGAUUUCAACAUUGUUCUUCUCCCUAAUUUAGGAAAACUACAAGUAUUUGGUGCACGAUCUAAAAUAGCUGCAGGCUAAUCCUCCCCUAAUGUUCAUAAUGUUCUGUGGUACACAAUAUGGGUAAAGGAGAGCACAUUGCUCUAAUGUUUUUGCAUAUGAUAUUAAAUCAGACAUUUCAGUGGAUAAUAUAUGGUAUUGACUUGGACAUUGGUGUUGUGGAACAAUCUAGCAGGUAUUGGAUCUUAUAGAAUUAUAGAGUUGGCAGGGUCUGAAAAUCAUGGUGUUGGUGUUUCAGCCUAUUAAUCUGUAGAUAAAGAAAUUCCGUACAUCUCUACAAAUAAUCCUGAAGAAAGUUCUACUAUUGCGAACGCUCCAACUGAACAAGAAAUAUGAUUUAUUUUUUUAAUUGAAGAAGAAGCCAGUUUCUCGAGAAGGAAUACAGAAUAAUAUUUUGGAUUAUUUACUUGAGGUAUUUCCAUGACUUCAUUCUUUAUUUUCUCAUCCCUCAUUAUUGGUACUAUAUAAUAGCAAUUUGGGACGUUGCAACAUAAAGUUUGGGCAAACAUAUGUUGCUUAUUAGAUGGCCAUUUAGGAUGGAUCCAUGAUAAAUUGUGCAUUAUAAGUUGAUAUUUCUGAAUUUACUCUCUUUUAGCUCUGCUAGGAGUGGGAUUAAUCUUUAUUUUUAUUGAUUACUCCUUUUUAGUACAACCAAUAUUUUACUGAAUAAAAACUGUAACUCUAUUAAUGAAGUGGUAGUUAGUGGAGUACAUAAUUGCACCAUUGUACGACAGUGACCAUAACUCUAGAUUAUACGUAGGAUUGCAUCUUCACUGAAGUAGAGAUAUUUGGUCAUUUUUCCGAUGUGAAUUAAGAUGACCAUAACUCUCACGUCGUAGUUAUGGUACCACCUCCUGUGUCAUUAAAGGAUACUUGUGUGAUUUACUAGCUGUUUUAGGUACCUCCUACAGUCCUACGUACUCGUGUGAUUUACUUGUCGUUUUAUAUAAGCAUGAUGCUCGUAUGUUUUGAUAUUUAGCACUUUGCGUCAUAUGUGAAACAAGUAAUUUAAAUGAUUCCACCCAUUGUAAUUGCAUACUAGGUCUCAGAUUCAUCGCAUCAACCGUGUGGGGUAGUAUGCAAGGAUCAACCGAUGUGGAUAACAAAAUCUGGGUGCGAGCUUCCGGGAAAUCUAAUUGGGUCUAUGCAAACAAGCAGAUUUGGAAGAUAAUCCCUGUACAUGUAUGACUAUACGAACUCUUCUUCCCUCCAGGCAAUAGAGUUUAGCUUCAGUAAGCAAGUGCUAAGAUAACUUGCAUUCAUAACUCUGCUGCUGAUCAAGUCAAGUGUCUGUAUUUGGUGUUCAGGUUGAUUUGGCAAAUCUUUGACAGUAGCUGUGGGUCUUAUACUGAUGACAAUCAACGUGUCUUUUCCGACCAACCAGGGGUCGAUUCCAACAUAUGUUUUUCUCUUAUAUAAGGGCAGUGACUUCACUACGUUAGGCUGGAUGAUUCGAUGUUUAGUAGCUUCAUCAAACUGGAUGCUAGCAAAGUGAUAAAAUUUUGGAUGUUUUCGGAAAUAUAGCAUCACGAGCCCAAUAAGAGAAAAAAAUCAAACAUCAUUAUGAAUGCCUUAGGAUAAUGAUUUUACCUUGCGGUUAUACUCUGCAUUGCAUGCCUGGAGAGCUAUUGCUUUCAGAUCCAAUUUACAGUCCAGGUUGACCGUCGACACAGUAUUCUUGCCAUCAGAUCAGACACUAGAAAGCAUAGUACACCCAGGAGAAAUCAAACCAGGAAAUAGCUCUGGCUCAUACUGUCAAGCAACCAUAUAAAAAACAUCAGUUCCAAAACAAGGAAAGAGACAAGUUCUGGGAAAGAAUGAGAAAAUAUCAUACAUGAUAAAAUAGUGCUGACGGAACAGAAUUCACAUCCUAACCUGGUCGCAUGAUUCAAAGUUAGAUUUUGGCCCAGAAGAGGUGACAAGCGCCGACAUGCCAUGACGCUUGAAGAGGUGACAAAUCUGUGCCGACCCCCUCUUGGUGAUAACUCAGUCGGAGCCACUCUUGGUGACAUCUUGAAAAGGAGUACUCUACAACUACUGCUUAACAAGGGAGGCAAAAGGAACAUACUCCAUCUUAUAAGUAGUUCAUUACAAAAACUUGAAUUUGCAAAAGGAACUUGAAUGAUCAUUUAAAUUGUGUGGAGUGAUUAGCCAGAAAGAGAAGAGAAAGAAAUGCUUGUAGGAGUGACAAUUAAAAAUAAGAUAAUUGUUGGAGUAAACAACACUCGAUUAGUGACAGUUGAUUGACUAUUAAAGAGGGCAAGAUGAUAUGAUAAUUACUGUAACUACUCUACGUUAAUUGAGGAGUACUCCAUUUGACCAUUUUGAUCAUCUUGGUCGUUUUCAAAUGGUUUUGUACUCCAUUUG